GCUGCAUUUUUAAAUUUCUUCGGUAUAUCCAAGUCAUAUGUGAAUAUAAAAAAACCUGUUUUGUUUUUUCGGUCUUUGCGUCAUUUAGUUUUGGCCUGUAUUUUUCUCCUGUUAUGUUACGUUUUCGUCACGUUUGCAUUGGUGCCUCAAGGAGUUUAUCCUUGAGGCACCUAUAAGGAUAACAGACUAAGGAUUACUGAUUCAGGUAUUUUCUUCUAAAUAAAAUAUUUGCUCUUCAGUCAAUGCUAC